rnacentral:rRNA from 1 species
AUGGGCUGGCUUCCCUGGCGUGAGGAGAAGAGUUCGGAGAGUAUGAAGGACCUGAGGCCUAUCAGUCUUUGCAAUGUGGUGUACAAGCUAGUUUCCAAGGCACUUGCAAAUAGACUUAAGCACAUACUCCCUGAUAUAAUUUCCCCAAACCAGAGUGCCUUUGUGCUAGGAAGAUUGAUAACCGAUAAUAUAAUGUUAGCUUAUGAAUGCACACACUUCAUGCAGAAUAAGAGGAGGGGUCAAGAGGGUUAUGCUGCAGUGAAGUUGGAUAUGAGUAAAGCCUACGAUAGAGUAGAAUGGGACUUCUUGCAGAAAAUGUUGUAAAGGCUGGGUUUCAAUGAUGAGUGGAUCAAGAAAAUCAUGAUGUGUGUGUCCACGGUGGCAUAUCGACUUAAGGUAAAUGGUGAAUGUACAGAAGUGUUGCUACCCCAAAGAGGUCUCCGACAAGGUGAUCCACUAUCACCAUAUCUAUUAUUAAUCUAUGCGGAAGGUUUUUCUUCACUCGUAACUAAGGCUGAAUUGGAAGGGAAUCUAAAAGGGAUUUGCAUAGGUAAUGAUGCGCCGAGUUUCAAUCAUCUACUGUUUGAAGACGACUCAUUGGUACUGAUAAAAGCCAUGAGCGGAAGUGCCAGGUAUGUGCAAAACAUACUACAUAUUUAUGAGGUGUGCUCGGGUCAGGUCGUUAACUACGACAAGUCUUCUGUCAUGUUUAGUAGGAGUACAAAACCGGACCAGAAACAUGAGGUGUUGUCGGAGCUAAAUAUCAAUGUUGAAGCUAGAUCGGAAAGGUAUUUGAGAUUGCCUGUAUAUGUGGGACAAGCAAGGAAAAAAACAGUUGAGUACCUUAAGGCAAGAAUUUGCAGAGGAUCCAGGGAUGGAUUGAGAGGGUGUUUUUUUUAGGAUUGAGAGGGUGUGCUAAUUAAAGCAUGUGCCCAGGCUAUUCCAACUUUCGCCAUGUCCUGUUUUGAUCUCACAAAAACUCUAUGUGAGGAAAUGGGGAUGAUGAUAUGUCGUUUCUGGUGGGCAAAGCAAGACAAGCAGAAUACUAUGCAUAUGCUUAGUUGGGAGACAUCUACCAAACCAAAGAAGGAAGGGGGAAUGGGCUUCCGUGAUAUAUAUGGGUUCAACCCAAAGUUUUAA